rnacentral:misc_RNA from 1 species
AACGCACAUUGCGCCCAUUAGUAUUCUAGUGGGCAUGCCUGUUCGAGCGUCAUUAAGUCCACUUAAGCCUAGCUUAGUGUUGGGAGACUGCUCCAGUGGUGCUACCCUGUAGCUACCCUGCAGCUCCUUAAAGACAGCGGCGGAGUCGUGUUAUCCUCUGAGCUUAGUAAUUUAUUCUAGCUUUCGAAGAGAUCACUUCACCUGCCGUUAAACCACCCAAUUUUUAUGGUUGACCUCGGAUCAGGUAGGAAUACCCGCUGAACUUAA